CCUACGGGUGGCAGCAGUGAGGAAUAUUGGUCAAUGGCCGAGAGGCUGAACCAGCCAAGUCGCGUGAGGGAAGACGGCCCUACGGGUUGUAAACCUCUUUUGUCGGGGAGCAAAGCGAACCACGUGUGGUUCAUUGAGAGUACCCGAAGAAAAAGCAUCGGCUAACUCCGUGCCAGCAGCCACGGUAAUACGGAGGAUGCGAGCGUUAUCCGGAUUUAUUGGGUUUAAAGGGUGCGCAGGCGGAGGGGCAAGUCAGCGGUAAAAUUGCGGGGCUCAACCCCGUAUUGCCGUUGAAACUGCAUCCCUUGAGUGCGCGAGAAGUAGGCGGAAUGCGUGGUGUAGCGGUGAAAUGCAUAGAUAUCACGCAGAACUCCGAUUGCGAAGGCAGCAUACCGGCGCGCAACUGACGCUGAUGCACGAAAGCGUGGGUAUCGAACAGGAUUAGAUACCCUAGUAGUC
rnacentral:rRNA from 1 species